GUGCCAGCAGCCGCGGUAAUACCGGCAGCUCAAGUGAUGUCCCAUAUUAUUGGGCCUAAAGCGCCCGUAGCUGGCCGACCAAGUCUACAGGGAAAUCCACCCGCCCAACGGGUGGGCGUCCGGUAGAAAGUAGCCGGCUUGGAACCGGAAGGCUCAGAGAGUACGUCCGGGGUAGGAGUGAAAUCCCGUAAUCCCGGACGGACUACCGAUGGCGAAAGCACUCUGAGAAGACGGCUUCGACAGUGAGGGACGAAAGCUAGGGUCUCAAACCGGAUUAGAAACCCCUGUAGUCC
rnacentral:rRNA from 1 species